rnacentral:rRNA from 1 species
GACGAACGCUGGCGGCGUGCUUAACACAUGCAAGUCGAGCGGUAAGGCCCUUUCGGGGGUACGACGAGCGGCGAACGGGUGAGUAACACGUGGGUGACCUGCCCUCAGCUCUGGGAUAAGCCUGGGAAACCGGGUCUAAUACCGGAUAUGACUCCAUGACGCAUGUUGUGGGGUGGAAAGCCUUGUGCGGCUGAGGAUGGGCCCGCGGCCUAUCAGCUUGUUGGUGGGGUGANGGCCUACCAAGGCGACGACGGGUAGCCGGCCUGAGAGGGCGACCGGCCACACUGGGACUGAGACACGGGCCCAGACUCCUACGGGAGGCAGCAGUGGGGAAUCUUGCGCAAUGGGCGAAAGCCUGACGCAGCGACGCCGCGUGAGGGAUGACGGCCU